rnacentral:pre_miRNA from 1 species
CCAUGAUGAUGAUGAUGAUGAUGUUAGUGAAGAUAACGAUGAUGAUGAUGAUGAUUAUCAUCAUCAUCAUCAACAUUAAUAUCAUCAUCAUCACCG